UUAUUUCAGGUUAUGAAGUGGGUGAAAAAGGCUUAAAGGUAGAAGAAGCAACGUAGCUUCCCUCUUUUUUAUGGCGGUGACUCACAGGCUUUUCUUCAGAUAAACCGCGUUAAACAACAUUCUAGAAUCCUUGCCGGGGAUUCAGUCCGGUCGAUGAUCAGAGCUCUGGUUGCCGUCGGAGGAGACGAGGUAGAGCCUUUAUUUGUUGUUCGUUGUUGUUGCGUGAGAGAAAAGCGAGUUUUCGUAGGUACAUAAGAAGAGGAAGAGUCAAAAUGAAUGGUAAUAGCAAUGGAUUCGGGAGUGCGGCGGCGGCGGCGGCGGCUGACUAUAUAAGGAGACGCCAUCUGCAUGAGAUUGGAGAGAAUCAGUGUAGUUCGUCUCUCGUAAAGCACAUCAAUGCUCCUGUUCCUCUUGUUUGGUCUUUGGUGAGGAGAUUCGACCAACCUCAGAUGUAUAAACCUUUUGUCAGCAGGUGUGUUGCACAGGGAAACCUCGAGAUUGGAAGUCUUAGAGAAGUUGAUGUCAAGUCGGGACUCCCAGCUACGACAAGUACUGAAAGAUUGGAACUCCUUGAUGAUAACGAGCAUAUCCUCAGCAUCAGGAUUAUAGGUGGUGAUCACAGACUUAAGAACUACUCUUCAAUCAUUUCCCUCCAUCCAGAGAUCAUCGAUGGAAGGCCGGGGACAUUAGGCAUCGAAUCCUUUGUGGUGGAUGUGCCUGAAGGGAACACAAGGGACGAGACAUGCUACUUUGUUGAAGCUUUGAUCAAGUGCAAUCUCAAAUCACUUGCGGAUGUGUCCGAGGGGUUAGCAGUGCAGGACCGGACCGAACCCAUUGAUCUAUGAAAGUUGGGGGGCCGAGAUGAUAAAAGAAAAUGUGGUGGCUAUAGUUGCCAUGGAUGAAGCUUCAAAGAAAUUUAGAUGAACCUCGUUAUUGAAGGAUGGGAAAAGAAACGACUUAGUUCUUGCACAGCUGAUCCAGGAUUGUCUGUAAGAAAAGGGAAACGACAUAAUGAACUUAAUUAAGAGUGGUAAUAACAUUUGUAACGCACUAAUCUAUCCACUUAAAGUGGCUAAACAAAACCGAACCCUAUAAGUGGCAAGAAGAAUUAUGGGUUGGUCAGUUGAGAGUUCAAAAGUCAAAGUUGACACUAGGAAUGGGAAUGGGGCGGUGUGGGUUGUUAUUUUGCUGUCUCUAUUUCGAUUAAAAAAUUGAUAAUUCAAAAGAUGUCAUGUGUUCGAAUAUCGACCUUUAUCUUAAAAGUACGAUAUCUUUCCAUUUGA